rnacentral:rRNA from 1 species
UACGUAGGUGACAAGCGUUGUCCGGAUUUACUGGGCGUAAAGAGCGCGCAGGCGGUCGAUCAAGUCGAGUGUGAAAGCCCCCGGCUCAACUGGGGAGGGUCAUUCGAUACUGAUCGACUCGAAGGCAGGAGAGGGUAGUGGAAUUCCCGGUGUAGUGGUGAAAUGCGUAGAUAUCGGGAGAACACCGAGUGGCGAAGGCGACUACCUGGCCUGUUCUUGACGCUGAGGCGCGAAAGCCUAGGGGAGCA